UCAGUCAUAUUGAAACUCAAGACAUAUCAGUUUGCAAUAAACCUACCAUUCUUGAACUCUUUUCUAUGACCAGAAAAAUAGAUCUUGACCCACUCAUACCCAAAGUGCACCCCACUUUAAACCGAAUGCAACCACUAAUGAUACCCUAAAGCACCUCUUAGUAACCACAUCAAUUCAUCAUGAGGCUGAUUUGAAUAUAAAUGUAUUCCGAGCACAAACGUUUCCCUGUUAACAAUUUCAAGUACUUUUAACUCUCUUUUCAAAGUUCUUUUCAUCUUUCCCUCACGGUACUUGUUCGCUAUCGGUCUCUUGUCGAUAUUUAGCUUUAGAUGAAAUUUACCACCCAUUUAGGGCUGCAUUCCCAAACAACCCGACUCUAAGACACAUGAAUACAAGUGAUACCAAACGCACCGAGCCAUGAACGGGAUUGUCACCCUCCAUGAUGCUAGUUUCCACCAGACUUUGACCCGAGCAGGUACCAGUAAUCAUUAGUCCAAAAACUACAAUUCCGAAUGCCCGAAGACACCCUGAUUUUAAAUUUGAGCUCUGCCCGCUUCACUCGCCGUUACUGAGGGCAUCCUAGUAGUCUUC
rnacentral:rRNA from 1 species